rnacentral:rRNA from 1 species
GUAUGUGCCUACAACAUAAUGUUAAUGCGCCAAGUCCCAUUAGAACUUUGCAGUUAAGUGUGCUCUGGUUAGAUUAGUACUGGGAUAGUUGAUUACUUGGGAUUUCCUAGUGUUUUACAUGCC